rnacentral:rRNA from 1 species
UACGUAGGUGACAAGCGUUGUCCGGAUUUACUGGGCGUAAAGAGCGCGCAGGCGGUCGAUCAAGUCGAGUGUGAAAGCCCCCGGCUCAACUGGGGAGGGUCAUUCGAUACUGAUCGACUCGAAGGCAGGAGAGGGUAGUGGAAUUCCCGGUGUAGUGGUGGAAUGCGUAGAUAUCGGGAGGAACACCAGUGGCGAAGGCGACUUCCUGGCCUGUUCUUGACGCUGAGGAGCGAAAGCAUGGGGGAGCAAACAGG